rnacentral:rRNA from 1 species
CGAACGCUGGCGGCGUGCUUAACACAUGCAAGUCGAACGCGAAAGUUUUCUUCGGAAGAAAGAGUAGAGUGGCGCACGGGUGAGUAACGCGUAAGUUAUCUACCCUGGCAUCUGGAAUAACUCACCGAAAGGUGUGCUAAUACCGGAUACGUUGGAUUUAUCCAAGAAAGGUGGCCUCUUCAUGAAAGCUACUGUGCUGGGAGGAGCUUGCGUACCAUUAGCUAGUUGGUAGGGUAAUGGCCUACCAAGGCAACGAUGGUUAGCGGGUCUGAGAGGAUGAUCCGCCACACUGGAACUGGAACACGGACCAGACUCCUACGGGAGGCAGCAGUGAGGAAUAUUGCGCAAUGGGGGCAACCCUGACGCAGCGACGCCGCGUGGAUGAUGAAGGCCUUCGGGUCGUAAAAUCCUGUCAGAUGGAAAGAAAUGUAUAGUGGUUAAUACCCAUUAUAUUUGACGGUACCAUCAAAGGAAGCACCGGCUAACUCC